UAUUGCCUCAGCCAAGGAGACCCCAAACAUUCUAGUUGUUCUAAGGGUCUCCAGGAAGAAUUGCAGAUGCUUUCAUCCCACAAAGCAUGUUGCCUGGACAAGUGUUCAGGAAUUUUUUGCCUGCUGGCCAUGACAACGCAUGUAACUGGAUGAGGAAUAGCCUGAGUACAAGAGGUUUUUCUGGGAAUGCAUCCAAGAAAUGCUAACGGAGGCUUUAUAGUUAAUCAGUUUGUCGAAAGCAAGACUUUUUCAGCACGCAGCAUCAUUCAUUUAAUUUUUCAUUAAGCCUUUUAAUGUAAGUGCCA
rnacentral:lncRNA from 1 species